CCACAAAUAUUCUCGCUCUUCUGAUUCUGUAAUAAUAAGGGCAGGCUGAACAUUCGCUAUAUAAGACCGUGCACAUGUCCUCAGAUCUACUUCUUUCCCUAGGACUGGUUUUAUCAAGUCUGAUUUAUAUAA